rnacentral:rRNA from 1 species
UCGGGAAUUUUGCGCAAUGGGCGAAAGCCUGACGCAGCAACGCCGCGUGAGGGAUGAAGGCCUUCGGGUUGUAAACCUCUUUUCUCAGGGACGAUGAUGACGGUACCUGAGGAAUAAGCCACGGCUAACUACGUGCCAGCAGCCGCGGUAAUACGUAGGUGGCAAGCGUUGUCCGGAUUUACUGGGCGUAAAGAGCGCGCAGGCGGUCAAUCAAGUCGAGUGUGAAAGCCCCCGGCUCAACUGGGGAGGGUCACUCGAUACUGUUUGACUCGAAGGCGGGAGAGGGAAGUGGAAUUCCCGGUGUAGUGGUGAAAUGCGUAGAUAUCGGGAGGAACACCAGUGGCGAAGGCGACUUCCUGGCCCGUUCUUGACGCUGAGGCGCGAAAGCUAGGGGAGCAAACG